rnacentral:rRNA from 1 species
AUUGGACGCUGGCGGCAUGCCUUACACAUGCAAGUCGAACGGUAACAGGUCUUCGGAUGCUGACGAGUGGCGAACGGGUGAGUAAUACAUCGGAACGUGCCUAGUAGUGGGGGAUAACUACUCGAAAGAGUGGCUAAUACCGCAUGAGAUCUACGGAUGAAAGCAGGGGAUCGCAAGACCUUGUGCUACUAGAGCGGCCGAUGGCAGAUUAGGUAGUUGGUGGGAUAAAAGCUUACCAAGCCGACGAUCUGUAGCUGGUCUGAGAGGACGAUCAGCCACACUGGGACUGAGACACGGCCCAGACUCCUACGGGAGGCAGCAGUGGGGAAUUUUGGACAAUGGGCGCAAGCCUGAUCCAGCAAUGCCGCGUGCAGGAUGAAGGCCUUCGGGUUGUAAACUGCCUUUGUACGGAACGAAAAGCCCCGGGUUAAUACCCUGGGGUCAUGACGGUACCGUAAGAAUAAGCACCGGCUAACUACGUGCCAGCAGCCGCCGUAA